GGGAGAGUGGCCGAUUGGUCAAAAGUGGCAAAUUGUAAAUUUGUUGAAGUUUUUUUACAUAGGUUUAAAUCCUGCCUCUCCCA
rfam:Capsicum annuum cultivar Zunla-1 chromosome 4, whole genome shotgun sequence